UACGUAGGGGCCGAGCGUUGUCCGGAGUUAUUGGGCGUAAAGCGCGCGCAGGCGGCCUCGCGCGCCCGACGUGAAAGCCCCCGGCUUAACCGGGGAGGGUCGUUGGGGACGGCGGGGCUUGAGGGCGGGAGAGGUCGGUGGAAUUCCCGGUGUAGUGGUGAAAUUCGUAGAUAUGGGGAGGAACACCGGUGGCGAAGGCGGCCAUCUGGACGGAUACUGACGCUGAGACGCGAAAGCGUGGGUAGCAAACAGG
rnacentral:rRNA from 1 species